CCUGUAACCGUGACGGCAGCUGCCAUGCCGAGAUAAUGGCGCGAGCGGAGAAGCCGGAGUGCAGUGCGCGUGCGUAAUGGUGACUAGGUGAGCGGGCAUGGUCUUUGCCUGGUCUACGCAAAUAAUGUGACUGCUGAUUUCCAAGUAUUGUAAGUUUUACUGAAAUCAAGAACAAUAAUUGUGCUUCUAGAAAGAAAGAAGACGUGAGCUUAGAGCUGGAAAGGUAUAUGUUCUGGCCUCUGGCAACUGGUCCAUGUGCUUUCUGUCGCACCACGACCGGUGCAGUUUUCAGGCAAGUGGUUCGAGAUCGAGCGCACCUUUGCCAGGCGAAGCAAUCAGCGGCUGCACUGCGUCAGCGUCGAGUACUACUACGACGGCCAGGGCAAGUUCUCUGCAGUCAACAGCGCGGUGCUGCCCAACGGGCACACCAACCGAGUCCUGGGCGAGCUUACGAUCCUCAACCAUACAGAACCAUCCAAGAUGUCAAUGAAGUUUUACGCUAGAAAUCCGGAGCAGCGCCCUUUUUGGAUCCUUUACACGGACUAUGACAAGUGCGCCAUCGUGUACCGCUGUCGCCGCUCUCUAUGGCUGCACACUAUGUACGUUUGGAUCCUCUGCCGAAACCACACCGUGACGGAGCCUUACCUCGCAAACCUGCGUGGUUACGUCCAGCAGUGGACCGGCAUUCCACCACGCCUGUUCAGCAAGACACCUUGCAAGUAGCCACUGCUUCGGUAGAGUGUACCGCAGCCUUGGCUACCAAUGCGGCUACUAGUCCGUCGCCAACACCCACCAGCAUGAAGUUCUGGGUCCCGCAGUCGGACAUGCAGGCUCCACUACCACACAGUCAAAUAAAACGACAACAGACCAGAUGGGAAAACUUUGUAACUUUUCUUCAUUGAUAAUGAUUCACUGUACAAAUGAUAAAACCAUUACGAACACGAACAACAUAAUAUCUUGAGCAGACAACUUGGCAAGAAGACGCUAACAAAUCCCGAACAAAGGGUGCAGCGACGCGCUCUUUGAACGGCGACCACGUUUGUGGUCUAGGCGGUGCCAUUCACACGCAGCGUCCCGGGAGGGUCACGAAACGACGGCAGAGGGGUGGUUGGGUGAAAGAACGGGCAGCCGUUAUAUGUCAACAAACGUCAAUGAACAAGACAUCGCGUGCUGAACACUCGCAAAAGUAUGGGCGAGUGGCCAUAAGAACCAAGAGAAAAAGGCGAGAUAUUAAAAAAAGGGGAGUGGGGGGAAGACAUUAGAACAAACGAAACUUUUUACAAGUUGAUUGCUUUCACACACGGCACUCAAAUCCGUUUUCUGGUGUCAGAUCUGCUACACCAAGUCAGAGGGGGGAGCAGUAUGGCAGUUUGUUUCCGCAAGAAAAGUGCGGGCUCCUGUUUAUGCUGUACAGUAUUAUACAAAAACAUGCGGCUGUUGCUUGGCUGCAGCAUACACAGGCUCCUCCUGCAUCAAUGCCCACAGCAUGCUUAAGAAUGCUGCCAGGCAAGACAGCAGCACAACGAGAUGCAGUACUUUAGACAGCUGGGUCGCGAUUGUGGUCACCCCAAUACCAAGUACAGCGCAUUUUUGGUUGCUAAAACAUGCCUCAAAUUAUACUAACAACACUUUGCACAUUCACACAAGCAGAAAAGCACGAAUGGUUACCGAAAUUCAGCAAUAACCGUACGUCAAUUCUGUAUUUCCCUGCCCAUAAUCUCCAUCCUUCCAGUCUCACAUGCGUCACAGUGAUUCAAGCUUUCAAGCCUGUAUUGUUACUGUCUGAAAAGUUCAUUACAUUUUCGUACUUUUAACAAUAUUCUCCCAACACCACUGCUGCCUGACAAGCAGUUCUCAUAAAUCAAGCCUGCAGGAGAAGCCUCUUCAACUGAGCCUUAGCCACAACGUGGUGGGCACGCAUUUUCUGCGAAUGGCCACAAGUUCACUACAAAAACGCCUGAUAAUGAGACGAUAGGGAAUGCGGUGACCCAUGGUUCUGAAACAUUCCCCACACAAAAUUCUGCACCGAGAAAUGACGCUAUCAAGGAGGGAGGGCGAAAUACAGAGAGCUAGAAAGAGAAGUAUAGAAAAAAAAAAAAACUAGUGAAACUGUACAGCAAAAAACACAUGUCAUCGUUCAUCAUUCCUCCUCCUUUCUCAUGAACAGCAGGAGAGAUAGGUGCAGAAAGGAAGAGGUAUGUUCGGUCCCUGUGACAGUGUGCAUGUUGCCCUCCAUCAUUGAAAAAGAAAAGAUGCAUGCGCAAGCCCCUGUUAACAAGAACCUGCGCACGAGUGCCUCAAGCGGAAAAUCUUGGGAACGAAGCACAAGAAGAGAAUGACACAUGGAAAGCAAGGACCUCAUCCCGAACGGAACACCUGGGACUCCUUUGACCAAGCAUCCAAGUCCUCCAACAAAUGCAUUUAUACUCGUGCUGGCUGAAUGUGACAACAUUGCCUCUUUCUUCAAGCUCUGAAUGCUGCUCCCCAUCACUUGUCGUCAAGCAACUCACUCAAAUGCAAAACUUUCUAGAUGGAACUAAACUAAUGCUAUGGUGCAGUGACCAACACACUGCCUGCCUCCUUCAAACACCUGUCCUUGCUUUUGUACAAACCACAUCAGUGCUCCCAAAUUGCCACGGCAAAGAAGCCUUGACAGCAAUAACAAGCUUCUCUCAAAGCUUUUCUCAAAGCUCACUCCCGAAAUGUGCAUUUAACAAGUGCUUCUUCGAUCAUUUUUGUUGGCUCAACCGUAAGCUGACAAGAUUUUAAGGGCAUCAAUUUCAUGGUCGUAACUGUUAAGCGUUGCUUGGAAUGCUAGGUGACAAUAAAGAAUUCGUUUAGUAUCUACAGCGACAAACAAAUAAAGAAAUUUACACAGCCUAAAUUAAGCUGAGCGUCCCCACCAAGAGUUCAUUGCACAUGCCCACAGCGCACAAGUGUAAAUGCUUGCACGUAAGCCUAACCGUUUUCAGUGCAGAAACUAGACAACAGAACAUGCCUCAGUAUUGUGCUAAAAGAAAUAGCUGUUAAAAGAAAGUUUCUACA